CUCGGCCCCCCUGCCUUUCCGCCGCCUCCGUGAGGGGAGGGCCGCGUUCCCGGGCCCGCCUCACAGGGCGGGACGGCGGAGACCGGCGGGAUGGGCCCUCCUCCGCGCUCCCGGGCCGGCCUACCUGGGGGUGGGCGCUCCCCUGGCGGGCCUGGUGGCUCUGUGGGACUGCUGAGGAGUGAGCUGUGCAGGUCCAAGAGGCCAGAGGCUGAGAUCUUAACCCGCAGCAUGAAGAGAAGUGCAGAGUUCCUUGGGCUGUUCUCUCCCCGUCCCCGCCAGCCCUGCGGUCUCCGUUAACGCUGUCACCUCCCGUCGCAGCACGCUGCAGCCACAACACACAAUAGAGAAGGAUGAGUGUCCAGCACAAGAGCAGCCAUGUGGUUACAGCUUCAGUCAGCAGAGGGAGUAUGGACACCUGUGUUAAAAGCCACAUUGGGUCACUGGUGACAGCCAAGAGAAUAGACUUUCUCCUAGAAUUCCGCUUUUGUCUGCAAAAAAAAAAGUCUUGGGGCUGGUGUGGAGCAGCACCUUUUCUUCUCCAUGUCUUGUGUCACCAUUAGUGACUGAAGCAGGGUUCUGUUUGCACAAACACCUGCCUCUGGGGAGGACACAGACUCCCUCUUUUCACUGAGGAAGGUGAGAAAAUGGUUGUGUACAUGACUUCUGUUGCCAAAUGCAGAUGUUGAAAAGAACAUCCUGCGGCCGUGAGUGCCUUCCUGGGACUCCCUUGCAUAAGAGGAAGGAUCUUGAUGAAGAAGAAUGAACCUGAUGGCUCUGUGAGCCUUCUGCUUGAAGAUGAUUCAGCUCCAAACUGGUGCAAAACCAGAGUGAUUUGAGGGCUAAGCUGUGAUGAAUGGUACCACCCAAUAGUUUGAAAUGGAAGUAGACAGCCUGGGUUCAUGCGUUUUUUUACCCGUUGCCACUUAGUUUGUGUUUUCAGAGGUAACACUUGGACUCUGUGGCUUCUGUUUCCCAUAACAAUGGAAAUGUGGACGACUCAAUUGAUGUUUAUCAAAAUCUUCAAAAGAAAUUUGCAAUGAAGUUGAUAAAAAAUUGAUUUUCUUUUUUUUUAAUAGUUACAGUAUUGCUUGACUUUUGGUCAGGCACAGUGCAGCCAUGAUACAACGUGCUACUUGUGUUUAGUGCAUCCGGUGUUUGUACUUUCUUGUGUUCAUUCCCAACGUCAGCAGGCUGGUAAUAUUCUCCACUGGCUGCCCCUAAUUGGUUCUGCAUGACAUUUUGCAAUCCAUUUCAGUUGUGUGUAGCCUCUUAAAUGCUGGGCAAAACUUCAUCAGAGUCCUCGUUUGGCUGAAUGAAACAAAAUUAAUCUUAAAUAAAAUUAAUUUGUGCUCAUUUUCUGUAUGUAAA
rnacentral:lncRNA from 1 species